AGUAGCUGAGAGACUCCUCUGACCAUGGCCAGCCUCAGGAAGUGAGUGUCAACAGCCUUGCAGAUGGGAACUCAACUCCUGGGUACCCAUGCCUGAAAAGACGUAAGUCCUGCUCCCACCGGCACCAGACCCCCUGCCCUCCCUCUACCCCAAUACUAGAACUCCAGACCUCACCCCUCCUCCCCAGAGACAUAUCAGCAGGAAGUUAAGUCAGCUGGAACACUUUGUUCCCUUGACAUUUCUGUUUUAAUUCUGCAGCUGUGUUUAAGGCUUCAUGAAUUAUCUGUCCAGCACGGUCUGUUUGUCUGCCUAGUGCCUCUUCUCCCACUUCCCUGCACCAGGUCAUGAUUACCCUAAGGCUGGUAGAGCAGAACUGGAACUAGGGUUGGUAAGAAGGAAGUGGGAUGGUAAGAAAGGGCAUUAGGGACUGUAAUAUUAGCUGUUGAUGAGCUAAGGAUGAUGAUCUGAUUGCUUGCUCAAGGAGGAGGAAUUCCUAAAUCAUUAACAGUGUGCGUUGCCGAUAGCUCUCUUUCCUCACCCUCUCAUGGUAUUUAUCUCUACAUCACAUCAUAGUGAUGAAUAGGUGUGUCUUUUCUCCUCAGUAUUCUAUAGUGCCUACUUACAUGCCUUAUUCAUGCUUAUUCAUGUUCAGGAAGCAGUUGGUAAUUGAAGGAAUGAGCCUUCUCGCCUUCCUUUUAUCUCAAGUCAGCUUAUCACUU
rnacentral:lncRNA from 1 species